AGGAUAAACGCUGGCGGCGUGCCUAACACAUGCAAGUCGAACGUCUCUUUCUUCGGGAAGAGGAGUGGCGGACGGGUGAGGAACACGUGGGAACCUGCCCUUUAGUGAGGAAUACCGGCGAGAAAUCGCCGACAAGACCGCAUAGCCCUCUUUGAUGAGAGUCAAAGAAGGAAAGCUUCGCAAGAGGCGCUAGAGGAGGGGCCUGCGUCCGAUUAGCUAGUUGGUGGGGUAAGAGCCUACCAAGGCGUCGAUCGGUAGCUGGUCUGAGAGGACGAUCAGCCACACUGGGAUUGAGAACGGCCCAGACUCCUACGGGGGGCAGCAGUGAGGAAUUUUCCGCAAUGGACGAAAGUCUGACGGAGCAACGCCGCGUGCAGGAGGAAGGUUUCGGAUCGUAAACUGCUUUUCGUCGGGGACGAGCGAAGGACGGUACCCGAGGAAGAACGCCCGGACUAACGUACGCGCCAGCAGCCGC
rnacentral:rRNA from 1 species